AAUGCUUUGGAGCCUCAGUUUGUUUGUAAAUGGGUGAUAAUAUUAACUAUCAUGUGGGUUUAUGAUGAGGAUUAAAUAAAACAACAUCUAUGAAGCCAUCUAGUGCGGUUCCUCUUCCAUAGUGAACACUUAAAAUUAUUCAAGGGAUGUUUUAAAACAUUAAAAAAUAUUUUAAAAGGCAAGUAAAGUUACUCACAAUCUACCACCUAGAAAUAAUCUUGUUAUGACUAUGAUGUGUUUUUCCCCCUAGUGUUUGCAAGUGAUAUGGCCAACGUCCCACUCAUCACAUAUGUCUAAGUCACUUGACCAAAGUGCUGGAGCUAAGACGGGGGCAGAGCUGGGCUGACACAGCAGGCAGGGCUGCCUCAGGGCCAGGCUCUUCUGUGUAUCCACUUGUCUACACUUCCUCAAUCAAGAUCUGAGGCUAAGGGAUGUUUGCUCAUUUGUUGGAGGUGGCAGUGAUUCCUCCGCCGGGAAGACCAGUGGUGUGCACCAUGCUUAGAGAGGUACUAGGCAGACAGUCGUGGAGUGUUCUGGAAAGGAGUGCUCUGUGUGGAGACAGCAGGAAAACAAAUCAUGGAAUGACAGGUUUUGAGCUGAGUAAACCAGCAGUUAAUCAUUUCCCGCCGGCUCAGGCUUCUGACAUGCAGGUACGCUUUGGCCAUCCCUAGGACGCCAGCAUCCCCCUCAAAAACAAAAGCCCCUACUGGCUGGUGUGGGUUCCAUUUCUAAUAUUUACAUCACUGGACUUUCGGCAACUGUGCUUAAUCCUUUUGGGAAUAGUGAUGCGGCUCACUUCAGAUAAAGGUGUCCUUGACCACAGCAUGAUUUAAGCAGUUCACUGGUAAGUGUUUCAUUGUGAAACACUUCAUUUCACAGAGGAAGUGAGGUGGAGGAGUAGAGGUGCAGAAGGUGGGCAGACCAUCAAAUCUCAGCUCACCAGAAGGCCAAAGGGCUAUAUUAUACCAGUGCAGGCAUCUGAGAGUUUAACAUUGGAUUCAUGAAUCUAAACCGUAGUUCCACUGGAAAGGCAGCAUUCCAGAUCCUUUCUGAGUGUCUCUGGAGUUGAAAGCAGACCAGGACUUACAAUAAUGAUGUGUGUCGGGCCCUCUGACUCCACCCCCACGCAGCAUCUGCCAAGAGGAGCUGACUCUUCUGAUCCUCUGGCCCACAGGUUCCCAGCUGGCCCCUCGGGAGACCUAAUAACUGCUCCCCUGCCACACACUUUUCACCUUUCUGGUUAUUAGCUUCCCUCUGGAGACAGUGGAUUCCACGGUUCCACAGGAUCUG
rnacentral:lncRNA from 1 species